UGGGGAAUAUUGGACAAUGGGCGCAAGCCUGAUCCAGCCACGCCGCGUGGGUGAUGAAGGCCUUCGGGUCGUAAAGCCCUGUGGGGGGGGAAGAAAAGCCGUCGGUUAAUACCCGGCGGUGCUGACGGUACCCCCUUAGCAAGCACCGGCUAACUCCGUGCCAGCAGCCGCGGUAAUACGGAGGGUGCAAACGUUGCUCGGAAUUAUUGGGCGUAAAGCGCGUGUAGGCGGCCUUGUAAGUCGGACGUGAAAGCCCUGGGCUCAACCCAGGAAGUGCGCUCGAUACUGCAAGGCUCGAGUACGGGAGAGGGUAGCGGAAUUCCCGGUGUAGAGGUGAAAUUCGUAGAUAUCGGGAGGAACACCAGUGGCGAAGGCGGCUACCUGGACCGAUACUGACGCUGAGACGCGAAAGCGUGGGGAGCAAACAGG
rnacentral:rRNA from 1 species